rnacentral:lncRNA from 1 species
UGAUUUACAGAGUAUAAUAAAAAAAAAUGACUGGAUGUUCACAAAAGACAUCUAAAGUAAAAAUUUACUAAAAGCAUACCGAAAAAUGGAAUUGCUUCGGAUACAGUUUACAUGGAUUGAAGAUUAUGCAUUGUUAGCAUAUUACUUGAGAUUAGGCCUUCAUGACCAGAAACCAAUGGUGUGAGGCAAUGCAACAAAUCCUUUCACUUUGAAAAUGCUCCCCACACUUUGAUAGUUUCCGCAUGCUAAAGAUCAUGGAGGCCUAUCUACAUAAUACUUAUGGACUAGUCCCUUGCAUAAGUAAAUAAAGCAACUUCAUCCAAAGGUCCGUUUACUUCAUCUGAAGGUUUCCUAAAGCUCGCUCACUUGAAAUGUUUCUUGAAGUGUCAAUGCGAUAAAAAGCAACUUUUUGUCUGCUGAAUUAAAUUUUGUUUGUCCUUAGUAACUUGUUAACUUAAAUGUAAUUUCUUUUAAUCUGAACAAGGAGAACGAAGUAAUUUUUUCGACUCACUGAACUCAAAUCUCUCAAAAAAAAUUAGAAAAGUAGUAAAAAAAGGGCAAAAGUAGGGUCUAGAUCUUCUUUUCUUUUAUUAACAAAAAAAUUCGGGUUAUUUAUAUUAGAGAGGUCUACCCUUGCACAAUUCGGGUUGGAUUCUCUUUUAGUUCAAACAAGACACAGUUUUUCCAAAAUAGACAUGACUAGUAAAAAUAAACAUGACAAAGCUAAAAUUCUAUAAAAGAUAUGUCUCGAUUUCUAUAUCAAUUGCCUUCAAUCAAUCUACCUAAUUUUUUCUAAAUUAGGGCAGACAUUCGAUCACAAUCUUUCUUGAAAAAGAAAGUUUUGGCUUGACCAACCUAUUUUGAGGCCUAAAUGAUGAAAUUUGUCCCUUAUCACUCGAAACACCGCAUCCUUUAUGAGGUAGUACCCGUCAUAGAACUUUAAAAGUUAUUAGUUGAAAAAAAAAUUAUAUAAGUCGGAUGCCGUACAAUCAAAUUAUAGCCUCCAGAAUUUUGCAAUACGAUUUGGCUUUUUGAUGCGGUGCAUUUUGCUCUUGCACCUUUUCUAAUUCUCACCAUAACAGCCAGAGUGAUUCAUAUUGAGUCCGAUGAUCCUCUUGAAUCAUUUUGAAGUUUUAUUUUAAUGAAUUAAAUUUUGUGAGGCACCUAGUUUUUCUUGAUCCUUUGAGCAAAUUAUAUGUGAAAUUAAAUUUGAUUUGUCUACAUGACCUAGACUAUAAAGUCUUGCAUUUAUUACUUGUAGAGUUUAGAUCAAAUCACCUCUAGGUAAUAUCACUACUCUUUUAUUCACUACAGAGUAUUGUAUUCAUGAUAAUGGAAUUAUCUAUGCAUUUGACUCCUUUGAUCCCUUGACAAAAUUUAACUAGAAUUAUAUUGCAUUUGUCCA